CGCUGGCGGCGUGCCUAAUACAUGCAAGUCGAACGGUCUUUCUAUGGAAGUUUGCUUCACUGAGAAGAUAGUGGCGGACGGGUGAGUAACACGUGGGUAACCUGCCCAUAAGAGGGGGAUAACAUCCGGAAACGGGUGCUAAUACCGCAUAGUUUUCUUGAUCGCAUGAUCGGGAAAGGAAAGACGGCCUUUGUGCUGUCGCUUAUGGAUGGACCCGCGGCGUAUUAGUUAGUUGGUGAGGUAACGGCUCACCAAGACGAUGAUACGUAGCCGACCUGAGAGGGUGAUCGGCCACAUUGGGACUGAGACACGGCCCAAACUCCUACGGGAGGCAGCAGUAGGGAAUCUUCCGCAAUGGACGAAAGUCUGACGGAGCAACGCCGCGUGAGUGAAGAAGGUUUUCGGAAUCGUAAAACUCUGUUGUCAGAGAAGAACAAGUUGGAGAGUAACUGCUCCAGCCUUGACGGUAUCUGACCAGAAAGCCACGGCUAACUACGUGCCAGCAGCAGC
rnacentral:rRNA from 1 species